UUUGACUGGGGCGGUCUCCUCCUAAAGAGUAACGGAGGAGCACGAAGGUUGGCUAAUCCUGGUCGGACAUCAGGAGGUUAGUGCAAUGGCAUAAGCCAGCUUGACUGCGAGCGUGACGGCGCGAGCAGGUGCGAAAGCAGGUCAUAGUGAUCCGGUGGUUCUGAAUGGAAGGGCCAUCGCUCAACGGAUAAAAGGUACUCCGGGGAUAACAGGCUGAUACCGCCCAAGAGUUCAUAUCGACGGCGGUGUUUGGCACCUCGAUGUCGGCUCAUCACAUCCUGGGGCUGAAGUAGGUCCCAAGGGUAUGGCUGUUCGCCAUUUAAAGUGGUACGCGAGCUGGGUUUAGAACGUCGUGAGACAGUUCGGUCCCUAUCUGCCGUGGGCGCUGGAGAACUGAGGGGGGCUGCUCCUAGUACGAGAGGACCGGAGUGGACGCAUCACUGGUGUUCGGGUUGUCAUGCCAAUGGCACUGCCCGGUAGCUAAAUGCGGAAGAGAUAAGUGCUGAAAGCAUCUAAGCACGAAACUUGCCCCGAGAUGAGUUCUCCCUGACUCCUUGAGAGUCCUGAAGGAACGUUGAAGACGACGACGUUGAUAGGCCGGGUGUGUAAGCGCA
rnacentral:rRNA from 1 species